rnacentral:rRNA from 1 species
GAUGAACGCUGGCGGCGUGCCUAAUACAUGCAAGUCGAGCGAACAGACGAUGAGCUUGCUCCUUUGACGUUAGCGGCGGACGGGUGAGUAACACGUGGAUCACCUACCUAUAAGACUGGGAUAACUUCGGGAAACCGGAGCUAAUACCGGAUAAUAUAUUGAACCGCAUGGUUCAAUAGUGAAAGACGGUUUUGCUGUCACUUAUAGAUGGAUCCGCGCCGCAUUAGCUAGUUGGUAAGGUACCGCCUUACCAAGGCAACGAUGCGUAGCCGACCUGAGGGGGGGGUCGGCCACAACGGAAGUGGGGAGACGUCCUAGAGACUUAGGGAGGCAGCAGGAGGGGAACUUACGGAAUGGGGGGAAGCCUGACGGAGCAACCGCGCCGGGGUGAUGAAGGUCUUCCGGUCGGAAAAAUCUGGUUUUGGGGGAAAAAAAAAGGGGAAGGUAAUAAGCCCGUUGUGACGGUACCAAAUAAAGAAGCCACCGCUAAAUACGUG